UCAACAAAAAAAACAACAUAUAUAGGUACUUGAUUCUCUGUGUUUGGCCUUCAAUCGUGUUGAUCUCGCAAAUACGGUUAGUGUAUAUGACAUGUUUACUCUAUUUUUUUUAGAUUGUAUUUCAUUUACGUAUAUUGUUGACCGCAAAUAUGAUAAUUGAGCAGCUACAAGGACUACAAUAUCAUCUUAAUAUUAUUGGACGGCAACAGGACUUGCCUAGCCACAAAUGGGGUGACCUCAAUGUUAUGAAGUGGCCAAUCAUAGAAUAACUACAAGAAAGAAUUCAAGGAGAUAGAUCUUCAUGUGGACUGUUCAUGCUCAAAAUUAUGGAGAAUUGGACAGGAGAAUCACUUUCUCGUUCUAUUACACAGGAGGAUAUUACACUUUUUAGGUUCAAACUAGCCGGUGCAUUAUUAUGUUAGAAAACAAAUAAAGCGGUCAUCACUACCGGGGAACAAAGCAAAGAUACCAAAGACAGUGACGACGAUGUUGUGAUAUUGGGUAGUCAUCAACGGAAAUUCAACUCUAAAAGGGACAUCUAUGAAACUAAAGAAGUAAAUAAAAAAUAUAGUUCACUACUCUUUGUGGUAGCUACGAUGAGUAAACAAGAGUUGAUAAGCGGCCUUUUGCACUACAUCCAAUAGAUUAAUUGCGCUGAAGCCAUGGAGAAAGUAUGGGUACAAAGUUCAAGUCCGCAUUUUAUUAGCUUGAGUCUCAAACAUCUUCAAUCAGUACUGAAGAAGGAUGAGCCAUUGGAAAGUGAAUGCUUCAACAUGGCUAUAUGUAAGUUCAUGUAUGAAAAAAUCCAGACGAUUCACAAAACUAAAGAAGCAAUAUCGAAUCAUUGUCUGGACUUGCAAUUUUGGAAUGCUACUGGCUUUGGUAAAGACCCGGUCCACCAUGACAACGUAGAUCUUGCAAAGACCAUCAGUAGCUGGUCGAAAAUUCAUUACAAACUUUCACAAUGCAAAUCGGUAAGAUCGCUAACAUUUGAUCCUAUAUGCCCGUGUUUUACAUAUUAUCUUGAUAGUUGAUCUUUUGUAUAUUCUUAUACUAGUACGCCAUGCUUGAAGCUUUAUCAUGGUCAUAGUGGACUAAGAAAGUCAAACACUAUAUAUAUUAGACUCUAAUCUACUUAUUCCAAAAUAUAAAAAUAACCCAAACAUGAGAUACGUCAGGAUAACUAUUUGUGAUCACUUCAACAAAGCUAUGUGGAAGGCAUGCCCUGGCUCUAGGUGGAAUGAAGACAUCAACUUGUGGAGGCAAAUAUUUAUCAAUAAUCCGGUUCUCGACAGGUAAGUUAUCUUCUAAAAACUCGUUCAAACCAAUAAAUUUAAUUGUGUAGUGCAAGGGUAGCUAACUAUUCAACUUCCUUGGGAGUUUAUCGGGUUUUCUUGUUCAUCUCUUCGUGUGUACAUGGAAAAAUGAAGAACUACAUUUGCCGGCUAUUAAUGAUGGUGACGAGCUAAGGAAUUUUUUUUUGCUAAAUCUACUGAUGUACCAACAAAAUGAGUGUGAAAGCAACAUCCCUACCGGCGCACGAGAUUUUCUAAAGUGUAUCAAAAAUGCACAACAUUAGGGUAGUUAUUUAUCUAUAUGGAGUAAUUUAAUUUGAGGUGAUCAUCCAUUAGAAAUACCAUAUCUAGAAAUGCUUGAUGUUCUAGAUUUUUGUUUGUGCUUUAUUUGUAUGACAUCAUCAAAUUUUCAUAGAUGUCUUCUAUCUAUGUUGCUUUUUUAUAAUUUAACAAACGCCAUGAGAUUGUUUUAUGCGCCGAAAAAGGUUGCACUACGCUUAUGUAAUGAUAACAUAUAUCUUGUUUUUAAAUUAAUCUACAGAACAAUUAUGACUUGUAGUUUCUUUUGGAUUG